UUUAUAUCAACAACGUACUGCAACCUAUGUGGGAGCGAGACGGGGACUCACUGUGAUUUUUAUAUAGUCAGUCUUUUUCUCUCUCCUAUACAAAUUGCGGGCGUAUCAACAUGUUAAAU
rnacentral:precursor_RNA from 15 species